AUGAACCAGCUUGCUUCCUGGAAGAAGGAAAAAGGGAAAUGGAAGCUAAAUUAUGUGAGAGGAAUUUCGGUUCAGCUUGCUCAUGUGCUACAAUCUAGAAUGUCUGUGAAACGGAUUUCUGCCCAGCGAGCUCCCUUUUUUUUUCCUUCACCUUAUGCUUCUUCCUUUUUAUUAGAGAUUCAGCUUAUGAUUGUUUUGGCAUGCCAUACUGAUCGAAAACUAAUUCCAAAGGCUUGCAGACACGAGAAUAACUACUUUACCCGGUUAAAUAUAGAAUCUAUGACGCGCUUAAUACCACUGCUCAGUUUUAUCUGCAGGAGGCUUCGCAAGUAG
rnacentral:rRNA from 1 species